rnacentral:rRNA from 1 species
AGUACAGACGAGUUUGAUCCUGGCUCAGAUUGAACGCUGGCGGCAUGCUUUACACAUGCAAGUCGAACGGUAACAGGCCUUCGGGUGCUGACGAGUGGCGAACGGGUGAGUAAUGCAUCGGAACAUACCCAGUCGGUGGGGGAUAACGUAGCGAAAGUUACGCUAAUACCGCAUACGUCCUGAGGGAGAAAGCGGGGGAUCGCAAGACCUCGCGCGAUUGGAGUGGCCGAUGUCAGAUUAGCUAGUUGGUGGGGUAAAGGCCCACCAAGGCGACGAUCUGUAGCGGGUCUGAGAGGAUGAUCCGCCACACUGGGACUGAGACACGGCCCAGACUCCUACGGGAGGCAGCAGUGGGGAAUUUUGGACAAUGGGGGAAACCCUGAUCCAGCCAUGCCGCGUGCGGGAAGAAGGCCUUCGGGUUGUAAACCGCUUUCAGCCGGAAAGAAAUCGCACGGACUAAUACUCUGUGUGGAUGACGGUACCGGAAGAAGAAGCACCGGCUAACUACGUG